GUGUCAGCAGCCGCGGUAAAACGUAGGACGCGAGCGUUAUCCGGAUUUACUGGGCGUAAAGCGCAUGCAGGCGGCCUUGUAAGUCGGAUGUGAAAUCUCCCGGCUCAACUGGGAGGCGUCAUUCGAUACUGCAAGGCUUGAGGGCAGGAGAGGGGAGUGGAAUUCCCGGUGUAGUGGUGAAAUGCGUAGAUAUCGGGAGGAACACCAGUAGCGAAGGCGGCUCCCUGGCCUGUACCUGACGCUAAGAGGCGAAAGCGUGGGGAGCGAACGGGAUUAGAAACCCCGGUAGUCCACGCCGUAAACGAUGCGGACUAGGUGUGGGAGGUAUUGACCCCUUCCGUGCCGUAGCUAACGCGUUAAGUCCGCCGCCUGGGGACUACGGCCGCAAGGCUAAAACUUAAAUGAAUUGACGGGG
rnacentral:rRNA from 1 species